AAGGAGGACGGGGAAAGAGAGUCACCUUGUCUCACUCCUCUCUUUAUUUCAAAAAAGUCAGAGCAAUGUCCAUUUAGUCUAAUUUUUGAU